GGGGUUAAUAAACCGGCCAACCUGUAACGCUUCCAGUGGUGCCUGCAGAAUGGAAUUUGGUAACAAAGCCACUCAAGACUUCAUGGCCUUUACGUUUUUUCCAGAUUUGGGAAAAAAACCACAAAGUCUCACGAAAAAUAUGAUGAACAGCCUUGGAAAUUAUUUUUCCUGCCCGAAUGGCACAACAUCCCUGUUCCCACACUUUCAAAGGAAGUGCAGACCCUAGCUGUGUCUGGGAUGGAGCACUGUCACCUUAGAUGUCUAAGCUCUUCUUCAGGACCCUGCAAACUAAUUAACAUUUUAGUUUGAAGACAAAGGUGGCUCUUCUCUGCAGCUUCAUUAAUAGAAUUUGCCCUCUACUAACAAGAUUCAACUUGCAAAAUAUUCAUUAAUACUGCAAAAUACAGCACAAACAACAACAAAAAAAAAAAUCGAAGAAUUCACUAGAAGUUUCAUGCAAUAAAGAGAGGCUAACUGCUAGAUGAAAAAUAAAAAUCCCCCUCUCAACUCUGCUAUAACUACAAUGCCAGAGAUUAGAGCUAUGCAGAAAAGUUAAGUAAAAGCAAACCAGUAUGAUAAUUAAGCACAUCAAGAAGCAAUCACAGUUGCUCAUCAUGACACAAUUCACUGUAGCUACUUUCAAGAAUGUAAAAAUUUAGGUUUUAAUUUGGCUAACUAAAGAGAA